rnacentral:rRNA from 1 species
AGCGAACGCUGGCGGCAGGCUUAACACAUGCAAGUCGAGCGGGCGUAGCAAUACGUCAGCGGCAGACGGGUGAGUAACGCGUGGGAACAUACCUUUUGGUUCGGAACAACACAGGGAAACUUGUGCUAAUACCGGAUAAGCCCUUACGGGGAAAGAUUUAUCGCCGAAAGAUUGGCCCGCGUCUGAUUAGCUAGUUGGUGAGGUAACGGCUCACCAAGGCGACGAUCAGUAGCNGGUCUGAGAGGAUGAUCAGCCACAUUGGGACUGAGACACGGCCCAAACUCCUACGGGAGGCAGCAGUGGGGAAUAUUGGACAAUGGGCGCAAGCCUGAUCCAGCCAUGCCGCGUGAGUGAUGAAGGCCCUAGGGUUGUAAAGCUCUUUUGUGCGGGAAGAUAAUGACGGUACCGCAAGAAUAAGCCCCGGCUAACUUCGUGCCAGCAGCCGCAGUAAU